rnacentral:lncRNA from 1 species
UCAUUACUGAUUCCUGUUAAUACAUUGAUUUCUGCACCCAAGACCUAUUUUGGAAAGAUUUCGCCAUUUUUCAUUAAACAUUCUUGUUUAUAUGGGCUUUGGCGACUAUAUAUAUGCGCCACGUCCAACCCUAAUUUUCAUGUUUUUUGACAUAUAAUUCAUAUCUUUGGCAGUUGCACAAACAAUUUUUGCACAAACAAUUUUUUUUCCGGCACCACGGAUAGGAGGCGGUACUGCCUCAAAGUCAAAAAUUAGUAAAAAAAUGGGUCAAAUUCCUUUCGGCUCACGAAAACUCAAAUGUAAAGCCUUCAAACAUUUAAAGUUUUUAGGACAUAAGGGUUAUUGGCUUACGAGCUGUAUUUUUUUUUGGGCCAGAUCCGUAUACAGGGUGAGUCAUUAUAAGCCAAUAAAACUGAGAAAAAAAAAAUUCAAACUGCUUCAGAGGCCAAACUAAAAUUUAAAUAAAAAAAGUGCUUCGGCCAAAAUGCUUAGUUUUAUGGGAGAAAUUACAUAUUUGAAUCUUUUUUUUUGUUAUUUUAACGACUUAAUAUGCGAAAUAUAAUAAAAUGCGAAAAAUAAGGUUUUUAAAGGCUGCCAUUUUGCUGUUGGUAGAAGUAAUGACUUAAUAUUCUAGAUUGCUUAUGAUGUGUGCCAAAUUUCAAAUUUUUAUAUAAACGCAUUCGAUUCGAAAGAUAAGAGGGGAGGGGGACGAUUGGACGUAGUUAUGCAUAACGCAACCAAGUGCCAAAUUCGUUUUUUUUGGUAUUAUUGUGUCAUCUGACAGCUAAAUCUUAUAUUUAUCUGCGAAAAAAAUCUCGAGCGUUAGGAAUCUAAAGUUAGGGAUAUAAACUCCUGGACAAAAUUAUCGCACCACUGAUUAUUUUUUCAAGAAAAUUUAAAUAAAAAUAAAUAUCAGUUACAACAGUUAUAAUAUCAUUUCUCGUAUAAAAAGCAGAACUAGACAAAAACUAUGUUUAUGCUCUAUCAUGGAACAUGCUGCUCGUGAGGAGUGAGAAAACAUCCGCAGGAAAGUUUUCAUAAUUUGAUACGAGGAAUGCUGCGAAGACUUCAAGCGGUCAUUGCAGCUAGAGGUGGCAAUACACGUUAUUAAGAAUUCAUUAUGGGUCUAUUGUUUUAUUUUUGUAUCAAAAUUGAAGUUAGUGAAAAUCGAUGCUUUUCCUUGUAUUGAAUUUAGUUACUUAAAUCUCGUUUUGUUUUUGUUAAAUUUUGCAUAAAGCGAAUAAACGUCGCGAAAUUUUGCAUUUCAAUUAAACGCCAUGAUACUGGCGCUUGGUUUAGUGAUGCAAAUAGCAGCUUAGUUCGGUAAUUGCAUCAGCGAACAAAAAAGUCACGUUAUCUGGAACAGAAAAAUAGGUAAUAUAUCACGUGAUAUCUGUCAAAUUUUGAUUAUUUUUGUCGCAGAUGCAUUUACCGAACUUAGCUAGCAAAUAUCAAUUGACGUUUUUUGAGUAAUGUGUACAGGUUAUGUUUAUGAAUAUUAUUCGUUAAUAUUGAUUCAAUUCAAAUUUUAAAAAAAUGAGCCGGACUACUAUUAUACUAAAACGCGCAUAUGAAAUAAAUUUAGAGGUGAUCCCACUAUUGAGGCUGACUUAGAAGGAAAUUUUAGGCAACCGGAUUUUAACAUUGAAAAUGGGACAGUAAUAAAUUUUUUUACGUAAUCGUUAGUUGUUAUAAAAAACUCUAGUUUUAUUUGAAGUUUUUCAAGGAUAUACCUAUGCAGUUGUAAUUUGCAUAGCUUAUUAUGUUAGUAAAUAAAGUAGUUUAGUUUUACUCUA